rnacentral:rRNA from 1 species
AUUGAACGCUGGCGGCAUGCUUUACACAUGCGAGUCGAACGGCAGCGCGGGCUUCGGCCUGGCGGCGAGUGGCGAACGGGUGAGUAAUACAUCGGAACGUGCCCAGUAGUGGGGGAUAGCUCGGCGAAAGCCGGAUUAAUACCGCAUACGACCUGAGGGUGAAAGCGGGGGAUCUUCGGACCUCGCGCUAUUGGAGCGGCCGAUGGCAGAUUAGCUAGUUGGUGGGGUAAAGGCCUACCAAGGCGACGAUCUGUAGCUGGUCUGAGAGGACGACCAGCCACACUGGGACUGAGACACGGCCCAGACUCCUACGGGAGGCAGCAGUGGGGAAUUUUGGACAAUGGGCGAAAGCCUGAUCCAGCAAUGCCGCGUGUGUGAUGAAGGCCUUCGGGUUGUAAAGCACCUUUGGCGGGAACGAAAAGGACUGUGCCAAUACCACGGUUCGAUGACGGUACCCGCAGAAUAAGCACCGGCUAACUACGUG